AAUGGGUCAGCGACUUAUAUUCUGUAGCAAGGUUAACCGAAUAGGGGAGCCGAAGGGAAACCGAGUCUUAACUGGGCGUUAAGUUGCAGGGUAUAGACCCGAAACCCGGUGAUCUAGCCAUGGGCAGGUUGAAGGUUGGGUAACACUAACUGGAGGACCGAACCGACUAAUGUUGAAAAAUUAGCGGAUGACUUGUGGCUGGGGGUGAAAGGCCAAUCAAACCGGGAGAUAGCUGGUUCUCCCCGAAAGCUAUUUAGGUAGCGCCUCGUGAAUUCAUCUCCGGGGGUAGAGCACUGUUUCGGCAAGGGGGUCAUCCCGACUUACCAACCCGAUGCAAACUGCGAAUACCGGAGAAUGUUAUCACGGGAGACACACGGCGGGUGCUAACGUCCGUCGUGAAGAGGGAAACAACCCAGACCGCCAGCUAAGGUCCCAAAGUCAUGGUUAAGUGGGAAACGAUGUGGGAAGGCCCAGACAGCCAGGAUGUUGGCUUAGAAGCAGCCAUCAUUUAAAGAAAGCGUAAUAGCUCACUGGUCGAGUCGGCCUGCGCGGAAGAUGUAACGGGGCUAAACCAUGCACCGAAGCUGCGGCAGCGACACUAUGUGUUGUUGGGUAGGGGAGCGUUCUGUAAGCCUGUGAAGGUGUACUGUGAGGUAUGCUGGAGGUAUCAGAAGUGCGAAUGCUGACAUAAGUAACGAUAAAGCGGGUGAAAAGCCCGCUCGCCGGAAGACCAAGGGUUCCUGUCCAACGUUAAUCGGGGCAGGGUGAGUCGACCCCUAAGGCGAGGCCGAAAGGCGUAGUCGAUGGGAAACAGGUUAAUAUUCCUGUACUUGGUGUUACUGCGAAGGGGGGACGGAGAAGGCUAUGUUGGCCGGGCGACGGUUGUCCCGGUUUAAGCGUGUAGGCUGGUUUUCCAGGCAAAUCCGGAAAAU
rnacentral:rRNA from 1 species